rnacentral:miRNA from 1 species
UUUUAGUAUAUUUUGUAAAUUUUUAGUAUAAAUAUGUCCCAUGCGCUAUUUGGGACAUACUUAUUCUAAAAAUAAAAUUCAUUGUUUAUCUGAAAUUCAUUAAUUAAAC